GCAGGGGUGAAGCUACAGAGAAUCCAGACAGCAACUCCCACCCUGCAGAGACAGCCUACAGCUCAGGGAAGUAAGGGAUGGGGGAAAGGCUGCAAGGAGACAUACACUGAGACACUAAGGGACAUUGGGAGACAUUAUGGCAGACACUGAGACACUAAGGGACAUUGGGAAACAUUAUGGCAGACACAGAGACACUAAGGGACAUUGGGAGACAUUAUGGCACAGACACAUGGGGACACAAUGUCCCCAUAUCUCCCAGCCAGUGUCCCUGGUGUCUCAGUGCCCCCUAGUCUCCCAGUGACCUCUAGUAUUCCAGUGCCCCCAGUCUGCGAGUGUCUCACUGUCCCCAUGUCUCCUAGUGCCUCCAUGUCUCUCAGUGCCUCAAGUGUCACAAUGUCCCCAAGCUAGUGUCCCUAGUGUCUGUGGCCCUGGUGUCUCAGUGUCCCCGGUGUCUGUGUCCCCAUGUCUCCCAGUGCCCCAGCCAGUGUCUCUAGUAUCUUUGUCCCUGGUGUCUGUGUCCCCAUGUCUUCAAGUGUCCCCUAUUUUCCCAUUGUCCCCAUGUGUCCCAGCCAGAGUCCCCUAGUCUCCCAGUGUCACUGGUGUCUCCAGGUCUCCCCGUGUCCCCAGGUCUCCCCGUCUUCCUAGUGUCCUAGUG